rnacentral:misc_RNA from 1 species
UGGAUAACGGGUGCGCUCGCGUACGCUGAGAGAGGCGUGUGGCAAUCACCGAGACGCCGUACACUCUGCCUGCUAUUUCCAUACUCGUUUUACUGGGCUAAAUUAGCUGCAUCAUGACGGCGACGGCGAGUAACAGGGCACAAGCCGUUGCGGCCCUCAAGCUGCAGCGGGAUCGCAGCACCACGUACCAGCAAUGGACGUUGCUCUUCCACCGCGCCAUCACUGGUGACAUCACCGCCACGGAGCUGCAGCGCAACAUCCAAGGUAUUGUCCUGCCAGAGUUUCAGCGCAUCAGCACGCAGCUGCGCACGUUGCAGAAGGCGCUGACGGAGACGGCAGUCGAGACGGAACAGCGGCAGAAUGGCCACCCCUCCCCUCACUCACCUGCUGAAGCACCAGAGGGUCCAGCAGACAACAGGCAGCAGACGAGCUCGGCGCUGGCAAUAUGGAUUGAUCGCUUGCAAGACCUGGAGCGCGAGCACUACACGGUGACGCUGAGCUUGGCGAACCAGCUAGUUGAGCAUUGCACGCCAAACGUGUGUCUCGAGUCGGAGAGCGAGCCGUCGACAGCCACGGAGGCAGGGAAGGCAGAGGAAGGCACGCCGAAGCGCACGGGCGAGCCGGCGGACAUCAAGUCUCUCUUCAAGCCGGACAGCAGCGACGAUGAGCAGUACGAGUUGGUAGAGAGGCGCCCAAAUCACAUCGCUCACAGCCCUCCAGCGCCCUCCAUCGCUGCCGCCUCUGCGCCUGCCCCAGCGCCUGCGACGCCAACGCUACGCGUGCACGACGUGGAGCGCUGCACACUGCUACGGCUUAUCCCCCCGCGUUACCGCACGCAUCUGUACUUUGUAAAGUGCCGCGGCGUCAUGGACAGCCUCGGCGGCCCCCCCGACCACUCGGCGAAUGGCGAUGAUGUCAAUGGCACGGAGGGGAGCACGGCACGCGUGGAGGAGGAGCUGGUCGCGCUACCCUCCAAAGGCGCGCGCAGAGACGAAGCACCCAUCCUUGCACACUAUGCGCCGUCUGCCGUGGCGUGCCGAUGUGCGGGCUGGUCAAGCGCCGUGGCUUCCAUCAUCCACCGCCAGGAGUCGCUUCGCGCCGCCAUCGAAGAUUUAUGCGAAGAGUUGCAGGGUGAGAUCAGCGAUGAUGCGUGAAGCCGAGCAGGGAAGAGAGUAUGGUGGUGAGUUGCGUUGAGCGUAGCAACUGCGGCCCCCUUGCCCUACCCCACCUCCCACCCCCUCCCCCAGCCUCGCUUACCUGCGCGUGCUCCUAGCCACUGCGGUAAAACAGAAGUAGAGCAAGCUCAGCCAGGAGCACGAGAGAGUCAAAGGUAAGAUUCACGUCACCCGUCCCCCACCUACCCCUCUCCUCGAGUCCCCCGCAUCUUGUCCUCCGCGCACGUCAUGUGAAUAUUGCGGGAAUGCGGCGGAGGUCUCAGCCAGUCUGCGAUACGUAGUGAUUUUCUCUCUCUUGAGUCCACCCGUCGACGCACACGUCUCCGCAAUGUUCUCACCUCGCACGCGCACGCACACACACAAUUGCAAG